CAGUGUGUUUCGACACACUAUCAUUAACUGAAUCCAUAGGUUAAUGAGGCGAACCGGGGGAACUGAAACAUCUAAGUACCCCGAGGAAAAGAAAUCAACCGAGAUUCCCCCAGUAGCGGCGAGCGAACGGGGAGGAGCCCAGAGCCUGAAUCAGUGUGUGUGUUAGUGGAAGCGUCUGGAAAGGCGUGCGAUACAGGGUGACAGCCUCGUACACAAAAAUGCACAUAUUGUGAGCUCGAUGAGUAGGGCGGGACACGUGGUAUCCUGUCUGAAUAUGGGGGGACCAUCCUCCAAGGCUAAAUACUCCUGACUGACCGAUAGUGAACCAGUACCGUGAGGGAAAGGCGAAAAGAACCCCGGCGAGGGGAGUGAAAAAGAACCUGAAACCGUGUACGUACAAGCAGUGGGAGCCUCUUAAUGGGGUGACUGCGUACCUUUUGUAUAAUGGGUCAGCGACUUAUAUUCUGUAGCAAGGUUAACCGAAUAGGGGAGCCGAAGGGAAACCGAGUCUUAACUGGGCGUUAAGUUGCAGGGUAUAGACCCGAAACCCGGUGAUCUAGCCAUGGGCAGGUUGAAGGUUGGGUAACACUAACUGGAGGACCGAACCGACUAAUGUUGAAAAAUUAGCGGAUGACUUGUGGCUGGGGGUGAAAGGCCAAUCAAACCGGGAGAUAGCUGGUUCUCCCCGAAAGCUAUUUAGGUAGCGCCUCGUGAAUUCAUCUCCGGGGGUAGAGCACUGUUUCGGCAAGGGGGUCAUCCCGACUUACCAACCCGAUGCAAACUGCGAAUACCGGAGAAUGUUAUCACGGGAGACACACGGCGGGUGCUAACGUCCGUCGUGAAGAGGGAAACAACCCAGACCGCCAGCUAAGGUCCCAAAGUCAUGGUUAAGUGGGAAACGAUGUGGGAAGGCCCAGACAGCCAGGAUGUUGGCUUAGAAGCAGCCAUCAUUUAAAGAAAGCGUAAUAGCUCACUGGUCGAGUCGGCCUGCGCGGAAGAUGUAACGGGGCUAAACCAUGCACCGAAGCUGCGGCAGCGACACUAUGUGUUGUUGGGUAGGGGAGCGUUCUGUAAGCCUGUGAAGGUGGCCUGUGAGGGUUGCUGGAGGUAUCAGAAGUGCGAAUGCUGACAUAAGUAACGAUAAAGCGGGUGAAAAGCCCGCUCGCCGGAAGACCAAGGGUUCCUGUCCAACGUUAAUCGGGGCAGGGUGAGUCGACCCCUAAGGCGAGGCCGAAAGGCGUAGUCGAUGGGAAACAGGUUAAUAUUCCUGUACUUGGUGUUACUGCGAAGGGGGGACGGAGAAGGCUAUGUUGGCCGGGCGACGGUUGUCCCGGUUUAAGCGUGUAGGCUGGUUUUCCAGGCAAAUCCGGAAAACCAAGGCUGAGGCGUGAUGA
rnacentral:rRNA from 1 species